rnacentral:rRNA from 1 species
UACGAGGGGGGCGAGCGUUGUUCGGAAUUAUUGGGCGUAAAGGGUGCGUAGGCGGUUUGGUAAGUCUUAUGUGAAAUCUACAGGCUCAACUUGUAGUCUGCAUGAGAAACUGCCGGGCUUGGGUAUGGGAGAGGUGAGUGGAAUUCCUGGUGUAGCGGUGAAAUGCGUAGAUAUCAGGAGGAACACCUGUGGCGAAAGCGGCUCACUGGACCAUAACUGACGCUGAUGCACGAAAGCUAGGGGAGCAAACAGG